rnacentral:rRNA from 1 species
GAUGAACGCUGGCGGCGUGCCUAAUACAUACAAGUCGAGCGAACAGAUAAGGAGCUUGCUCCUUUGACGUUAGCGGCGGACGGGUGAGUAACACGUGGGUAACCUACCUAUAAGACUGGAAUAACUCCGGGAAACCGGGGCUAAUGCCGGAUAACAUUUAGAACCGCAUGGUUCUAAAGUGAAAGAUGGUUUUGCUAUCACUUAUAGAUGGACCCGCGCCGUAUUAGCUAGUUGGUAAGGUAACGGCUUACCAAGGCAACGAUACGUAGCCGACCUGAGAGGGUGAUCGGCCACACUGGAACUGAGACACGGUCCAGACUCCUACGGGAGGCAGCAGUAGGGAAUCUUCCGCAAUGGGCGAAAGCCUGACGGAGCAACGCCGCGUGAGUGAUGAAGGCCUUCGGAUCGUAAAACUCUGUUAUUAGGGAAGAACAAAUGUGUAAGUAACUGUGCACGUCUUGACGGUACCUAAUCAGAAAGCCACGGCUAACUACGUG